rnacentral:lncRNA from 1 species
AUAGAAUAGAAAUAACAUAAUUGUUAGGGCCAGUUUUGGAGACAACUUCAUAACCCUGCCUAAACAAAUGUAUCAUUAGCAUGCCCUCUACGCCACCUCAUAGACCAAGAUUCAAAUUCAACUAACAAACACAUUGCAACCUAUAAAAGCAAGCCCAUGUCUCCAUUCUCUACACACCAGAAUUGAGUUUGCAAACACAAAAAACUUGACUCCCCAAAAUGACUUAUUUUGUGCUCUUUGUCAUUCUUUCAUUGCUCUCCCUUACGGGAGCUGAUGAUCGAGCUCACGGGCUCAAGAGCGAGAGUCCUAUGGCCCUCUCGCCACAAGCAUACUCAUUUUUCCACCCUCAAAACACGCAACAGCCGAGCGUGAACCCUCCUUGUCAUUCAUCUGAUUGCCCGUCGUUGGUUAUAUCUGCCACAGUGAAAUCUACUCCAGCACAUGAAAGCGUAGUAUCAGGUGGGAAUCGAUUAGAAACCAGCUGUAUUGCUGGGCUUCCAUUGAGGUUUUGGUUCACAAGUCUUGCAAUGAUGGGGGUUUUACUAUGUUGCGGUCGACGUGUUAGCUAAGUCGGACCGAGAUAAUCCCGAGCAGCCACAGGGCUGGAGUGUCUAUAAGAUGCGGUUAUAGCUUACCCCACCAACCUACAAUCGACUUAUUGCUCACUUCAUUUGGUUUGAGUUAUCAGAUUGUAUUUAUGGAGUUAGUCACAGAGUCAUAUACUCCUGGUCCUUUCUGCUAGGAAUGAGAAUACUCUGGUAGUAUGUAAUACUUCUGUUAAAUGCUAAAUAUCUAAGAAUAUGUUUGAAUAAUUUUCUGAAAGUACUUUGUCUAGUGAGAAGAGUUUUAGAUAGAGUUCGUCUAGAUUCGCUUCCCAUGAUCUUGGCUCUUCUAUAAGAAACUAAGAAGCAGAAGUACCGAUAAAUUGGCCCUACAUUCAUACAAGUCGAUAAAGGACAUCUUGGUGUAGUGUAAUUACUUUGGUUAAUAGACG